UUCCAGACUCCUACGGGAGGCAGCAGUGGGGAAUAUUGCACAAUGGGGGAACCCUGAUGCAGCGACGCCGCGUGGGUGAAGGAGCACCUCGGUGCGUAAAGCCCUAUCGGCAGGGAAGAAACAGACGGUACCUGACUAAGAAGCCCCGGCUAACUACGUGCCAGCAGCCGCGGUAAUACGUAGGGGGCAAGCGUUAUCCGGAUUCACUGGGUGUAAAGGGAGCGUAGACGGCGACGCAAGUCUGGAGUGAAAGCCCGGGGCCCAGCCCCGGGACUGCUCUGGAAACUGCGUCGCUGGAGUACGGGAGGGGCAGGCGGAAUUCCUGGUGUAGCGGUGAAAUGCGUAGAUAUCAGGAGGAACACCGGCGGCGAAGGCGGCCUGCUGGACCGUGACUGACGUUGAGGCUCGAGAGCGUGGGGAGCAAACAGGAUUAGAUACCCGCGUAAAA
rnacentral:rRNA from 1 species